UGAGGAAUAUUGCGCAAUGGGGGCAACCCUGACGCAGCGACGCCGCGUGAGUGAGGAAGGCCUUCGGGUCGUAAAGCUCUGUCAAAGGGAAAGAAGUGCAUGAUGGUUAAUACCUGUCAUGUUUGACGGUACCCUUAAAGGAAGCACCGGCUAACUCCGUGCCAGCAGCCGCGGUAAUACGGAGGGUGCAAGCGUUGUUCGGAAUCACUGGGCGUAAGGGGCGCGUAGGCGGUUUGAUAAGUCAGAUGUGAAAGCCCACGGCUUAACUGUGGAAGUGCAUUUGAAACUGUCAGACUUGAGUAGCAGAGGGGAAAGUGGAAUUCCCGGUGUAGAGGUGAAAUUCGUAGAUAUCGGGAGGAAUACCGGUGGCGAAGGCGACUUUCUGGCUGAAUACUGACGCUGAGGCACGAAAGCGUGGGGAGCAAACA
rnacentral:rRNA from 1 species